ACUGGCUGACGAGUCCCAAAUAGGACGAAAUGCACAUCCUGGAU
rnacentral:hammerhead_ribozyme from 1 species